UAGUGGCGAACGGGUGAGUAACACGUGGGCAAUCUGCCCUGCACUCUGGGACAAGCCCUGGAAACGGGGUCUAAUACCGGAUACGAGUUUCACAGGCAUNUGUGAUUCUGGAAAGCUCCGGCGGUGCAGGAUGAGCCCGCGGCCUAUCAGCUUGUUGGUGAGGUAACGGCUCACCAAGGCGACGACGGGUAGCCGGCCUGAGAGGGCGACCGGCCACACUGGGACUGAGACACGGCCCAGACUCCUACGGGAGGCAGCAGUGGGGAAUAUUGCACAAUGGGCGAAAGCCUGAUGCAGCGACGCCGCGUGAGGGAUGACGGCCUUCGGGUUGUAAACCUCUUUCAGCAGGGAAGAAGCGAGAGUGACGGUACCUGCAGAAGAAGCGCCGGCUAACUACGUGCCAGCAGCCGCGGUAAUACGUAGGGCGCAAGCGUUGUCCGGAAUUAUUGGGCGUAAAGAGCUCGUAGGCGGCUUGUCGCGUCGGUUGUGAAAGCCCGGGGCUUAACCCCGGGUCUGCAGUCGAUACGGGCAGGCUAGAGUUCGGUAGGGGAGAUCGGAAUUCCU
rnacentral:rRNA from 1 species